rnacentral:rRNA from 1 species
AUAUUGCACAAUGGGGGAAACCCUGAUGCAGCGACGCCGCGUGAGUGAUGAAGUAUUUCGGUAUGUAAAGCUCUAUCAGCAGGGAAGAAGAAAGACGGUACCUGACUAAGAAGCCCCGGCUAACUACGUGCCAGCAGCCGCGGUAAUACGUAGGGGGCAAGCGUUAUCCGGAUUUACUGGGUGUAAAGGGAGCGUAGACGGCUGUGCAAGUCUGAAGUGAAAGCCCAGGGCUCAACCCUGGGACUGCUUUGGAAACUGUGGAGCUAGAGUGCUGGAGAGGUAAGUGGAAUUCCUAGUGUAGCGGUGAAAUGCGUAGAUAUUAGGAGGAACACCAGUGGCGAAGGCGGCUUACUGGACAGUAACUGACGUUGAGGCUCGAAAGCGUGGGGAGCAAACAG